rnacentral:lncRNA from 1 species
GGGCUAUCUCCCCUGGACUAGCCCAGGGAGGGAGAGGCGGAGGAGAGUAGUAGUCUCAGGAGGCUGUUUGGCGUCUUGUGGUGUGAGCUCUUUGCGCUCUUUUUUUGCAUGAGGAUUUUUGAGCUUGGUGACCUCCCCAGCCCGGGAUGACUCGUUGGGCUCCCGGUCGCCCAGGUCCUGGUUGCGAGCUCUCUGAGAUGCUCGGUUCGUUCGGUCGGCAGGAAGAGCCCCCCAGUUGCGACUUCGUUUAUGUUAGGAGACCAACGGGCAUAGAUCCCGUCUAGUUGGAGCGCCAAACAAGCGCUGUUGCGUGCCGGCCGUCGUUUCCCGUGCGGCCUGACCCGGGGGCGGAGUGCAUGAGACUAACCAGCUGUAUGCACCCGCCCCUCGCGCUGUGCUUCGGCCCUGGGCCCCCGGCUUUUCAGCCCACAGUGUAAUCAACGUCAUACAUACAUACAUACAUACAUACAUACAUACAUACAUACAUACAUACAUACAUACAUACAUACAUACAUACAUACAUAC